rnacentral:rRNA from 1 species
UGCAAGUCGAGCGGUAGCACAGAGAGCUUGCUCUCGGGUGACGAGCGGCGGACGGGUGAGUAAUGUCUGGGAAACUGCCUGAUGGAGGGGGAUAACUACUGGAAACGGUAGCUAAUACCGCAUAACGUCGCAAGACCAAAGAGGGGGACCUUCGGGCCUCUUGCCAUCAGAUGUGCCCAGAUGGGAUUAGCUAGUAGGUGGGGUAACGGCUCACCUAGGCGACGAUCCCUAGCUGGUCUGAGAGGAUGACCAGCCACACUGGAACUGAGACACGGUCCAGACUCCUACGGGAGGCAGCAGUGGGGAAUAUUGCACAAUGGGCGCAAGCCUGAUGCAGCCAUGCCGCGUGUAUGAAGAAGGCCUUCGGGUUGUAAAGUACUUUCAGCGAGGAGGAAGGCAUUGUGGUUAAUAACCACAGUGAUUGACGUUACUCGCAGAAGAAGCACCGGCUAACUCCGUGCCAGCAGCCGCGGUAAUACGGAGGGUGCAAGCGUUAAUCGGAAUUACUGGGCGUAAAGCGCACGCAGGCGGUCUGUCAAGUCGGAUGUGAAAUCCCCGGGCUCAACCUGGGAACUGCAUUCGAAACUGGCAGGCUAGAGUCUUGUAGAGGGGGGUAGAAUUCC